CUCUGUAGCUUAACUGGAUAGAGCACCUGACUACGGAUCAGGAGGUUAGGGGUUCGAAUCCCUUCAGA
rnacentral:tRNA from 1 species